GGCCUCGUAGCUCAGUUGGCUAGAGCGUUGGCUGUACUAAAGCCUUCCCCUUGCUGGUGUGGAUUCGAAUCCCACCGAAGCCG
rfam:Schistocephalus solidus strain NST_G2 genome assembly, scaffold: SSLN_scaffold0006944